CACGCUUUGCCUUGGCUCACUGCAGAGUAUGUUGGUAAUUCAGUAGGAGCGGUCGUGAGUCAGUGUGUUUUAGCAAGUUAUUUAUUUUAAUUUAUCAUCGUCAUGGUAAAUUAUUGUGUUUGUGGAGGUUGCACAAGCCUGUCAGGACAUCGUGUCCACAGGUUUCCUAACAAGAAAAAGGACGGUGGUAUGGGUGCCUGGGUGCGUUUUGUGCAGGUGAAAAAACGGGACUUCACCUCUGCAUCUGCUUCAAAAAACGCGGUGGUGUGUUGCGUUCACUUUACACCUGAGGAUUAUCAUCCCGGCAAUAUGAUGCAGUUCAGUAUGGGAUGCCUUAUGAACCAAGUGAGACUUGGAGCUGGUGCGGUUCCAGCCGUCAUCAUGUGCUUCGAUCGCUGGCACGAAACAUGGUCACCGAGCCGUCGGAGAUGCAGCUCGACGAAAACGUGAACUGUGGACCGUUGCCAAGUGGAGUUGUGUCCAAAAGGAACAACAAGCCAUUUUUUGGACAUCUGGCAUAUUGACAAGAGGACGCUUUAGAGGGUGUGAGGGCCAGCUGUUUUAACCACCUCUACUGGACUGCAGCUUCCACUCCUAAUGGAGAUGGAGAUGUGAUGGAGGCCAAGUGGAAAAGCAUGGUUAACCAUGUUCAGGACAUCCAUGAAUACGACACUCCAAUGUUCCCUCCUGUGCACAUCCACAUCUGAAAGGGGAAGUAAGGAACAAGGUGUGGAUGGAACCAGCAUGUGCAUCAGCCCUCAUGGAGUCUCUGAGAGUGGAAUACACCAGGUCUUCCACUACACCUGUUCCCCUUUCCAGACAAAGAUGAGGCUGUUGGAGCGUAUAUAGCAUAGCAUUCUUGAUUUAACACAUGUUAACAAAGAAUUAAUGUGAUCCCCACAUAGAUGUUGGGCAAGUUAUUAAACGUUUUUUUAAUGAGUUUUAAUUUUUUGGUUUUCAGUGGGUCAGAUGGUAUAUGUUUCCUUCGGUGGUGUAUGUUUGGUACAUCUACAUACUGUAUAUACAGUAGUCAACACUUGAAAUGGAUCAAAAAAGUUAAUCAAAGUUGUCCUAAGACAAGAACGGGUAUUGUUCACAAUUCAGGUACAACUUUGAUGAAAGAUUUUGAUCCACUUCAAAUGUUCAAUAGUUUAUUUUAACAAUUGCAAUGUUGUGAUGUGAGUUAGGUAUUAACAGUGCUAUGGGAUACAUUUUCUUAUGAUUUGGAGUAAUGUAAAUACAACUUAAUUGAAUUAACUAUAAUGCAUAUCUGCUUGAUAUAUAUGUAUAUGUAUAUAUAUAUGAUCAUAAACAAAUUUU